CCUACGGGAGGCAGUAGUGAGGAAUAUUGGUCAAUGGACGAGAGUCUGAACCAGCCAAGUAGCGUGAAGGAUGACUGCCCUAUGGGUUGUAAACUUCUUUUAUAUGGGAAUAAAAUGUUCCACGUGUGGGAUUUUGUAUGUACCAUAUGAAUAAGGAUCGGCUAACUCCGUGCCAGCAGCCGCGGUAAUACGGAGGAUCCGAGCGUUAUCCGGAUUUAUUGGGUUUAAAGGGAGCGUAGGUGGAUUGUUAAGUCAGUUGUGAAAGUUUGCGGCUCAACCGUAAAAUUGCAGUUGAAACUGGCAGUCUUGAGUACAGUAGAGGGGGGCGGAAUGCGUGGUGUAGCGGUGAAAUGCUUAGAUAUCACGAAGAACUCCGAUUGCGAAGGCAGUUCACUGGACUGCAACUGACACUGAGGCUCGAAAGUGUGGGUAUCAAACAGGAUUAGAUACCCCUGUAGUC
rnacentral:rRNA from 1 species